GGCAUUUAAUAUAGCUAUGGCCGAAAGAGUGCCUUCCGGCAUAGUAAUUUUUUUUUAAAUUCCAAUUCCCUAAUUUGCUCCAUUAUUUUUGGCCAAAUUCGAAGUUUGAAUUUCAUUCAAACUCCCAACUGAUCAGCAGCCUUAUCCACCUGCUUGCACCGCUUCAGCAUUCUGCCAAGAGUCCUGGUCAGACCUCAAUUCCUUCCCCACGCUUGCAGCAAAAAUCAGAUCCUUGCACGCGCGAACUGCAUCUCGAACCCCAAACCUCCGUCCGCCUUGCACCCACGCCCAUGCAACUGGCCACUGCACCAUGCCUCCUUCCUUACUAAUAUAUGGUAACAAUUAAUUAUAAACCUUACCUGCUUCAGUUCUGGCCCACAUUAAAAAUU
rnacentral:lncRNA from 1 species